rnacentral:tRNA from 1 species
GGAAGUGGACCGGCAUGGACGAGGGAACACUCUUGAAAAGUGUCGCCCGCAAGGGUCGUGAGUUCGAUUCUCACCACUUCCGCCA